rnacentral:misc_RNA from 1 species
AACCAUAGAAACCUGCGGAGUACCUGCGGAAGGAUCAUUACAGAGUUCAUGCCCUCACGGGUAGAUCUCCCACCCUUGAAUACUAUACCUUUGUUGCUUUGGCGGGCCGCUUUGGCUACUGGCUCUGGCUAGUAAGUGCCCGCCAAAGAACCCCAAAACUCUGAAUAUUAGUGUCGUCUGAGUACUAUAUAAUAGUUAAAACUUUCAACAACGGAUCU